rnacentral:rRNA from 1 species
UACAGAGGCCUCAACCGUUGUUCGGAUUCAUUGGGCGUAAAGGGUGCGUAGGCGGCGGGGUAAGUCAGGUGUGAAAUCUCGGGGCUCAACCCCGAAACUGCACUUGAUACUGCCUCGCUUGAGUACUGGAGAGGAGACUGGAAUUUACGGUGUAGCAGUGAAAUGCGUAGAUAUCGUAAGGAAGACCAGUGGCGAAGGCGAGUCUCUGGACAGUUACUGACGCUGAGGCACGAAGGCCAGGGGAGCAAACGGG